GGCUCUCAGUGUUCUUCAGUAGAAAAUACUCUGGAUGCGAAGGUAGCAGAUGUUGGGUUUUCAGAGGGUAGAAGACAGAGAAUAGGCAGCUGCUGAGGAAGCCACAAUAACUCAAGUAGACUGUAAGGGUAAGGAAUGGAGGUAGACUGACGACUCCUGCCACGUGUGCGUCUGUUGGGAUAGGAACAAUAGUUUCUGUGCAGAGACAUAUGAAGGUCAUUCUGGAGAAAAACAACACGGCUUAUUAUAUGAGACAUGCUAUUAUCUUCAAAAAACCCUGCGAUUCUAAUCGAGAAAAUGAGACGGGUGGAAUGGCUGUGGUUAUUCUGCGAUCCAGAAGAUGUUGCUGCUCCAGCUAGCUCCUCUCUGUUCAAGUCAGGAUGAAAGGAACGGGAGCUGAUGCUAACCGAGAUUCCCAACCAUCCCCCGAUUAAAGUCCGAAAAAUCAGAAGCACUUUCAGAAACCACCAGGAGAGAUCUGCUUACGCGUCACUGGCAGAAAGUUCAUCAGAUCUCCACUCUGCAAGGGAGGACAUGAAAUGAUUCUUUCCCACUCUCCAUGAUUCAGAUUGACAAGAGAAACCAGGACUGGGAAGGGGUAUGGCUCAGUCCACUUCCAAGAGCUCUCAUCCAGUACUCCCUGGGGAGUUCAAGUGUCUCUUUAAAGCCAUCAGCCUGUGAGCAAUGUAGUC